rnacentral:rRNA from 1 species
UACGUAGGGUGCGAGCGUUGUCCGGAAUUAUUGGGCGUAAAGAGCUCGUAGGCGGUUUGUUGCGUCGGCUGUGAAAACCUGCGGCUUAACUGUGGGCUUGCAGUCGAUACGGGCAGACUAGAGUGUGGUAGGGGAGAUCGGAAUUCCUGGUGUAGCGGUGAAAUGCGCAGAUAUCAGGAGGAACACCGGUGGCGAAGGCGGAUCUCUGGGCCAUUACUGACGCUGAGGAGCGAAAGCGUGGGGAGCGAACAGG